GGCGGAGCUGGCAAAUGGAGAAGGCGGGAGGGUGUUGACGCCCCGCUAUCUCCUGUACCGUCUACCCUCCUCCAUCUCUACCUUCAGCUGUGACUGCGCUCAAAUCUCCUCACGUCCUACUCAAUCAUACCGUGUCUCUUUCCUCGUCCACAGACGAGUUUCUUCAAGCGUAAUCUACGCUUAGUGUCUUCACUUCCUUCCUGUGUGUGUUGUGUUCUACACUGCAGCUUCUGCCCCCGCGGAAAAUGUCCUUGUUGCAGCCAGUGUCCUUGUCGCCAAACCCACUGGAGGACAAGGUAGAGGAGGUGGGAGUCCUUGUAUCAUAAUGAAGCCAAGCGCUGGCAGUGGAUGGAGCAAACUGGGAGAGAAAGAGAGACAGAAUGACUCUUCUUCACAACUUCUUCCCAGAAUACAAUGCUUCAGCUCCAGGCCGGCUCAGUGGCCUCAGCCCUCUGAAAGUCUCAGAGACGACAGCCCUGUUAGGCUCUGUUGGCCGUCAGAGUUCUUGUCCUGCUCUCGACCUCCUGGCCCUGUGGGUAGGACAAUCAGGAGAUGGCUUAUUACACCACCCAGAACUUGCCGUUCUCAGCGUGACCAGGCAUCCGGGAAUUUCUGAGCAGCUUUAGAAGGAGGAAAUGAGAGGCUGUUGAUUCAUUCUGGAUUAAGAAAAAUCAGAUUUGAUGAAGGAAGACCCCCUAAAGAAUCUGCAACAGGAGAAGAUGGUCCAGAUGAUCCAACAUUUCAGAGAAUCUCUGUUGGAGUUUCCUCUGAGUUCUACAUCCAGAACAGCCUCAAGACUGCUGGCUGAGAUGA